ensembl:rRNA 5S_rRNA 5S ribosomal RNA
GCCGGCAGCCAUAUCACCCUGUAACCCAAGACGGGUCGCCCACUGAAGCUAAGCAGGGCUGAGCCUGGUCAGUACCUGGAUGGGAGACAUCCUGGGAAAACUAGGUUGCUGCUGGAA